GUAGGCAUUUAUCGAAGCCAGCAAUAUAUAUUUUAUUUCUGGUCAAACUAGUGCCAAAAGAAAAUUCUGCUGACGGUCGCAGCCUGUACCAUUUACAGAAGUUGCAUUACCAACAGUAGAUACAAAU